AUUGAACGCUGGCGGCAGGCCUAACACAUGCAAGUCGAACGAGUGGCGGACGGGUGAGUAAUGUCUGGGAAACUGCCCGAUGGAGGGGGAUAACUACUGGAAACGGUAGCUAAUACCGCGUAAUAUCGGAUAAACCCAUAUGGGAUUAGCUAGUAGGUGGGGUAAAGGCUCACCUAGGCGACGAUCUCUAGCUGGUCUGAGAGGAUGACCAGCCACACUGGGACUGAGACACGGCCCAGACUCCGACGGGAGGCAGCAGUGGGGAAUAUUGCACAAUGGGGGCAAGCCUGAUGCAGCCAUGCCGCGUGUAUGAAGAAGGCCUUAGGGUUGUAAAGUACUUUCAGCGGGGAGGCGUUACCCGCAGAAGAAGCACCGGCUAACUCCGUGCCAGCAGCCGCGGUAAUAC
rnacentral:rRNA from 1 species